AUCACCUUGGUGUAGUGGUUUAGCAUGCGCGCUUCCCAAGCGCGAGGUCGCGAGUUCGAUCCUCGCAGGUGAUA